rnacentral:rRNA from 1 species
UACAGAGGCCUCAAGCGUUGUUCGGAUUCAUUGGGCGUAAAGGGAGCGUAGGCGGUCGGGUAAGUUGGAUGUGAAAUCCUGGGGCUCAACCUCAGAACUGCAUUCAAUACUGCUUGGCUAGAGUAUUGGAGAGGUGAGUGGAAUUCACGGUGUAGCAGUGAAAUGCGUAGAUAUCGUGAGGAAGACCAGCGGCGAAGGCGGCUCACUGGACAAUUACUGACGCUGAUGCUCGAAGGCCAGGGGAGCAAACGGG